rnacentral:rRNA from 1 species
AUUGAACGCUGGCGGCAGGCCUAACACAUGCAAGUCGAGCGGAUGAGAGGAGCUUGCUCCUUGAUUUAGCGGCGGACGGGUGAGUAAUGCCUAGGAAUCUGCCUGGUAGUGGGGGACAACGUUUCGAAAGGAACGCUAAUACCGCAUACGUCCUACGGGAGAAAGUGGGGGAUCUUCGGACCUCACGCUAUCAGAUGAGCCUAGGUCGGAUUAGCUAGUUGGUGAGGUAAAGGCUCACCAAGGCGACGAUCCGUAACUGGUCUGAGAGGAUGAUCAGUCACACUGGAACUGAGACACGGUCCAGACUCCUACGGGAGGCAGCAGUGGGGAAUAUUGGACAAUGGGCGAAAGCCUGAUCCAGCCAUGCCGCGUGUGUGAAGAAGGUCUUCGGAUUGUAAAGCACUUUAAGUUGGGAGGAAGGGCAGUAAGUUAAUACCUUGCUGUUUUGACGUUACCGACAGAAUAAGCACCGGCUAACUUCGUGCCAGCAGCCGCGGUAAUACGAAGGGUGCAAGCGUUAAUCGGAAUUACUGGGCGUAAAGCGCGCGUAGGUGGUUCGUUAAGUUGGAUGUGAAAGCCCCGGGCUCAACCUGGGAACUGCAUCCAAAACUGGCGAGCUAGAGUACGGUAGAGGGUGGUGGAAUUUCCUGUGUAGCGGUGAAAUGCGUAGAUAUAGGAAGGAACACCAGUGGCGAAGGCGACCACCUGGACUGAUACUGACACUGAGGUGCGAAAGCGUGGGGAGCAAACA